CCUACGGGAGGCAGCAGUGAGGAAUAUUGGUCAAUGGCCGGGAGGCUGAACCAGCCAAGUCGCGUGAGGGAAGACGGCCCUACGGGUUGUAAACCUCUUUUGUCAGGGAGCAAGAGGUGGGUCGAGACCUGCUGUGAGAGUACCUGAAGAAAAAGCAUCGGCUAACUCCGUGCCAGCAGCCGCGGUAAUACGGAGGAUGCGAGCGUUAUCCGGAUUUAUUGGGUUUAAAGGGUGCGCAGGCGGAGGCACAAGUCAGAUGUGAAAUCCUGUAGCUUAACUACAGAACUGCAUUUGAAACUGAUCAU
rnacentral:rRNA from 1 species